AUUGAACGCUGGCGGCAUGCCUUACACAUGCAAGUCGAACGGUAACGCGGGGCAACCUGGCGACGAGUGGCGAACGGGUGAGUAACGCAUCGGAACGUGCCCAGUAGUGGGGGAUAGCCCGGCGAAAGCCGGAUUAAUACCGCAUACGACCUAAGGGUGAAAGCGGGGGAUCGCAAGACCUUGCGCUAUUGGAGCGGCCGAUGUCAGAUUAGGUAGUUGGUGGGGUAAAGGCCUACCAAGCCUGCGAUCUGUAGCUGGUCUGAGAGGGCGACCAGCCACACUGGGACUGAGACACGGCCCAGACUCCUACGGGAGGCAGCAGUGGGGAAUUUUGGACAAUGGGGGAAACCCUGAUCCAGCCAUGCCGCGUGCGGGAAGAAGGCCUCGGUUGUAACCGCUUUGUCUAGGAAGAAAAGGGACGCAGUUAGUACAUUGCGACAAUGACGGUACCGUGAAGAA
rnacentral:rRNA from 1 species